AGCAGAGGGUGCCCAGGAGCCGUCAGGAGACACAAAUCCAAUAAUUCUGGAUUUUCCCAGCAGGAACAACCAGCUUGUCCUGCACACACAGAGGUGUGGCUGAAAAAUAACCCAGGAAUGGCCUGGACAGGGAUGGGAUGGGAUGGGAUGGGAUGGGAUGGGGACAGGGACAGGGACAGGGACAGGGGAUGGGAAUGGGGAUGGGAUUUAGAGCUCUUCCCACCCAUCCCAUUCUCCCAUCCCAUCAUCCCAUCCCAGGAACCACUCGUGGUCCCAAAGCUGAGCAGAGGGUGACAGACUCCACAGAAUGUCACCUCCUCCUGCUCUGGGAAUUCUCACACCUCAUCCCCGUAACCUCGAGCUCCUGGCCUCACACCUCACCCCAAAAACCCUUCCCAGUUCUCAGAUCAUUCCCAUCUCCUCCUGUUCUUUUUCCUGUAAUUCCCAUCCCAUCAUCCCAUCCCAUCCCUGAUACCGCUCAGGGACCCCAAAGCACAAGCAGGGGGUGGCAGAGGGUGACAGACCCCACAAAGUGUCACCUCUGGGAUUUCUCACACCUCAACCCCGUAACCUCGAGCUCCUGGCCUCACAUCUCACCCCAAAAACCUUUCUCAGAUCAUUCCCAUCUCCUCCUGUUCUUAUUCUUGCAUUUCCCAUCCCAUUAUCCCAUCCCAGGCACCGCUCAGGGUCCCCACAGUGUGAGCAGGGAGUGGCAGAGAGUGACAGACCCCACAGAAUGUCACCUCCUCCUGCUCUGGGAUUUCUCACACCUCAUCCCCAGAGCCCAGGGAGUGAAGAAAACCCAAAUUUCACAGGUUGGACUCAGAAUUUUCGGGUCCCGGACGGUGACGGGAGCGGAGGCUCCGGCUCGGGGCAGAGACCUGGGGAGGUUAAAAACCUUCCAGAUCAAACACCAGUGGCAAGAGAUGGGUCCCCUGCCCAGAGAGGGCUGCUCAACACUCUUAAAAUAACACAUUCUGGGGCCAAGGCUUAAUGAAAAAAUAGCAGGGGCUUCCAGAGCCGGCUGAGGUUUUCAUCCAGCACAAAACACAGAAAUCUCCUCCUGGUUUUUUCCUCCAGGAGGUGAAACAGAGGAUGCUGAGGGCAGGAUUCCUGCUGUUCAGGGGGAAGGGGAUGGGUGUGAACAGCUCCUAAAUCCUGAGAGCAGCUAAACCAAGGCACUGCAGUGACACUGAUCCAUCAUUUCUCCGUCCCAAAAUCCUGCCAGCCCAGGUCCCUUCCCAUCUCUGCAGCCCCAAGGAUGCAUUUCCUCCCCUAAGCCUUUAAUAUCCCAAGCAGACGAGCAGCAGGAGCCAAGAUUAAGAAGGUCUCCUUCCUAAAUUCGACUGGAAAAUCAAAUUCCUGCUCCCCAAACCUGCCCAGGAGCAGAAAGCCCCAUCCCAUUAUCCCCACCCCGCCGUGGAAAUCCUCCCAGCCAGCACAGCGACCUUCCCUGCUGCAUCCAAGCCUGGAAAACUCCCAGUUUUUAAUAACCAGCCUUAUUUUGACUUGUUAAGGCAAACCCCCAGAAUGGGAGCUGGAAGCAGCAGGAAGUUCAGCUCUGGAAGUGCCAGGGCAGGAUAAACCCCAGCCUUGGCACAGGGACAAACCCCAGGCAGGGCUCUGUGACCUCUGGAAUGGUGACACCCAGCACAGGGACAUUCCCUGCCCAGGAUCCAGCUGAGCCCAAACCAUCCCAGCAUUACCCAGAGCCCAGAAAAGUCAGGGAUGAGGAGGAGGAUAAUUGGGAACACGACCCAAAGUGUGUUUUUGGAACGCUGCUCCAGGCCAUCCAAAGGCCACCAGGCAGUGUCUGGAGCCUGGGACGUGUCCCUGUGUCCCCUGCAGAGCUGGGGAGAGCUCCUGUGGCUCUGGAAGAGAGGGAAAUGUGGUUGUGUUUAAGCAGAGCCCAGGGAGGGCCAGGAUUUCCCAACAAUGCUGGAAUCACCUCGUGCCACGUCCCAGUGAUCCCAGCCCUGCCAGGGAACUGCUCCAAGUGCCUGGUGCUCCACAGGCUGGCACAGCCACCCCAGGGGCACAGCUGGGGCUGCAGCAGCUGCUGGGCUGGGAUCCCUGAACACAGGGGGACAUGCUCCUGCUGGGAAUGGGGAUGGGAUCAGAGCAGCUCCUGGGCAAGGGGUUGGUUUGGGAAAGCUUCACACCCUGAGGGCUCUGCUGCCCCUCCCAUCCCUCAUCCCCAUCCCCUUCCCAUCCCUCAUCCCCAUUCCCUUCCCAGCCUCAUCCCCAUCCCCUUCCCAGCCUCAUCCCCAUCCCCUUCCCAAUUCCCAUUGGAUCAACCCCUGGAUCAACCUGUCCCAAAUUCUGCAGGAUCAACCUGUCCCAACUCCUCCUGGACCAACCUGCCCAAAUUUAUCAUGGAUCAACCAAAUUAAUCAUGGAUCAACCUGUCCCAAUUCCCAUUGGAUCAAUCUGUCCAAAUUCAUUCUGGAUCAAACUGCCCCAAUUCCUAUGGGAUCAACCUGUCUAAAUUCCCAUUGGAUCAACCUGUCCCAAUUAAUUCUGGAUCAAACUGCCCCAAUUCCCACUGGACCAACCUAUUUCAACUCCUCCUGGAGCAACCUGUCCAAAUUAAUCAUGGACCAACCUGUCCAAAUUAAUCAUGGACCAACCUGUCCAAAUUCCCACUGGAUCAUCCUGUCCCAAAUUCUCCUGGAUCAACCUGUCCCAAAUUCAUCCUGGAUCCUCCUGUCCCAAAUUCAUCCUGGAUUCUCCUGUCCCGCCCCAGUUCCCCACCCAGCCCAGCCCAUCUCUGCUGCUGAUGCUGGUGAUUCCCAUAAACAACCCCAGCCUUUCCUGCCCCCCUGGAGAGGCAGCUCUGCCAUUUCUGGCCGUGCCCAGCCCUGGAUCCAUGGCUGCCUUUUGCCUGCCUUGUUUUUGGCCCCUGACUCUCAGCAGCUCCAUCCCCAGUGGCCUCCUCCACACGCCCAGCACAUUCCAGCCUGGAGUGGGAUAACAAAGGCCAGCCCGGAUAUCAGCACGUGUUAAUGGGAUGUAAUUCAGGCCUGGAGCUCAGAGCCCUGUAAAAAAAACCUCACCAAAACCCAAACACACCCAGGCAGGUUCACAGGGCCAAAGUCCAAGCGGAGUUCAAGCGUGUGCAGCUCCUUUCAUCCGCUCCAGGCCCUGGAAUUAACAAGGAGAUUUGGAAUUCCCCCGGAAUUUGGGUAAUAAAGCUCAGAUUGGGAUCAAACCCAGCAGGGAAGGGGAUGGGGAGCAGUGAGGAUUCUCUGUGAGUGAGCCCAUCCCAGGAGGAGCUGGCCAGAUCCUCCUGAUUAUCACAAAAUGAAAUGUUCAGCCCUUGUCAGCGGCAGCCUCGUGUUUGUGAUGUUACAAAAACCCCAUUUCCUCUCCCCAUUGGAGCCGGGCCUCCUCCGCUCCCGCUGGUGAAAUCAAACAAUUUGAAAGGAAUUUAUAUGAUCCUAAUUUAAACCCAAUGCGGGGAGCUGCCAAUCCCUGGCUGGCUGGGAUUCCUGCCAGAUCCACAUCCCGGCCAGGGAAAGGACCCAGCCCUCCCAGACACCCUACUGGGCAUACUGGGAGGGACACCCUGCCCAGAGUGACCCCAAAGCUCCAGCUCCAGGAUGGCCCCAAAUGGGCUUUUCCAGGGAAAGUGGCACACGGAGCUCCCAAAAACCCUCCUGAAAUCUGCACAUCAAUCCCAGAGAACAGCAGAAAGUCGGGACUUGGAGGAGCUGGAAGAUGCCAAAUUUGCUGCAUUAUCCAGGGGAAAAUUAAAGACAAGGGGCUCCAGGAGAGCUGGAAUUGGGGACAAGGCCUGGAGGGACAGGACACAGGGAAUGGCUCCACUGGGAAAGGGGAGACUGGGCUGGGAUCUUGGGAAGGAAUUCCUGCCUGGGCUGGGAUUCCCAGAUUGGCUGUGGCUGCCCCUGGAUCCCUGGGCUGGAAUUCCCAGAUUGGCUGUGGCUGCCCCUGGAUCCCUGGCAGUGCCCAAGGCCAGGCUGGAUCCACCUGGGAUACUGGAAAUUGUCCCUGAACAUGGGUGGGGUGGGAUGAGAUGAACUUUAAGGUCCCCUCCAUCCCAAACCAUUCCAUGAUUCCAUGAAAACCGUGCAGGAGCUGCUCCCAGCUCUGUUCCCUACAGGAUGAAGAACUUCCCCCCUGUUAUUUCCAGGGAAUUUUAGUGACCCCUCAUUCCAGGCUGCUCCCAUCCCUGAAUUUGGGCAGGGCAGGAGCAGCCAAUCCCCAGCACCUCCAACUGGGAACACUGGGAGGAGGAGGAAGGGCUGGAAUUGGUGAGGAAAACACCAGGAGAAGCCACAGGAUUCCCUCAGAGUGGGAGAUGGAGAAGGAACAGGGCAGGAAGGAUGGGAAGGAAGGGAAGAGCAGUGCUGAGGAUUGGGAAAGGAUGGAAACAAAGGUACAGAAGUUUCUCCAACCAGAAAAGCAAAAAAUGGUGCUGAAAUGAUGGAAAUUUCUGCUAAUUUUUCACCUAAAAUCCACACACGUGUCUGCAUGUCCACAUCACCUCCACCAACACAGAGCCAGGAGAUUGGAAUCCUCUCCCAGAAUCCUGAACACAGAACUGGAAACUACCAGAAACAUCUCCACCCUGUGAUGUCCCUAAAACUGAGAAACAUCCUUCAGGGGAUAAAACAGAUUCAAUAAUUACAUCAGGUGAUCCCUGCAUUCAAUGGACACCAAAAAGACAGCACAGGGAGCAAGGAAGGAUCUUCCCAAAGCUCUGCCUGCACAAGGAACUAAAGGGGAAUUUUUAUUGGGAAUUCUGCUCUAGAAUUUGCUGCCUCAGGUAAAUCCAGCACCUGGAGCCCCCCCAGACAUCAGCCCUGUGCACAUCUGGAUGCACACCUGGAUUGGGAGAGGUUUCUGCACCUUCAGGACCCCCCCC
rnacentral:lncRNA from 12 species